rnacentral:lncRNA from 1 species
AUGUUUGUCUCUCAGCAACUAAUACUGUGUCCUAAAAUGAAAGCAUUGUAUUACCUAACAAAAAGAAGUCUAAAAAGUUAUGAAAGGCAAAGGGUUCAAAUCAUCUACUCAUUCAAUAUUAUAAGAUUAAAAAGAACAAGUAUAAUACCAGAUAAUUACAUAACAGACACCUUCACUAGUCCUCUAGUUUCAUUUUUAAAAUAAUGGCUACAUUUUGAAUGCAUUAACAAAGUGAGUUACAAUGUGACUACAGUAGGACAAUAAUCAACACCUGUUUUUUUGUAACACCUGCAAAAGUUUUUUAAUGGAAUAUCUGUGCUAGAUAUUCUGUUUUAAAAAUAAAAGGUCAGAUAAAAGAGUCCUACUAAUGGCACCUUGCUACUGUAGUGGAUUGACACCAUGACAAAUUCUAUAUUAGCAAUACAAAUAAAAAAAAAAAAAAACGCUAAUAGUCAUCUGAUCUCAUAUGAAGGUCUAAUAAAAAGCCAGAAUGACAGUAUUUCAAAUAACUAAUUGCAAUCAAACUAAAUCACACACGUACAACGAGGUCCCCACGUCUGAGACCAAUAAUGAAAAUGCAGUAUUUUACAGCAUUCAAUUUAGUACAAAAAUGUCUUAGAAAUAAUAUAAUAUCGACAGAAUUUGAGUGAACAGUUCAAUUAAAAAAUGAAAAGAAAAUGUAAAAAUUUCUCAGUAUUUGGUUUGUCAUCCGUUGUCGAGUCAGGGUAAUUAUAGUUAACCUAAACCAUGAAAAAAAAAAAACAUUGUUACUUGAAAUCAAAUUAAUAGAAAAAUACUUCAGUUAGUUGAACAGGCAACAUUCAUGUAAAGUUAGUAUAAUUAAAAAAAACUAAUACUGAAAUAAAAUGAAAGUAAUGAAAGUAAAUAAAAAUCACAAAAAUCACAGCAAAAAGACUAAAAAUAAAACAAAAUAUUAAAAUAAAAACUAAUUCAAAAUAUAAAAUAAAACUAAAAUGGUAUCUGCUCGUGAACUUGAGAAUGUGUAAACGUUCUCCAGCAUGAUUUGAGAAUGAUACAAAGAGCAUCUUGUGCUUCAAAGGAAGCAAGAACAUCUGACUGUCAGUAUAAAGAGACCCAUGAACAAUGUCAACUUUUAGUGACCUAGAAAAUUUUUCCUUUUUUUAAUAUCUCAAAAUUCAAAAAUGUUCUAUUUACCUGUAAAUUAAAAAACAAAUCUCAGAUUUUUAAUGUAAUCUCAGACUUCUGAACCCAUCUGUGUAUUAAUUCAAACACGUUUAAACCCUUUCCGAGUUAUUUAUCUUGUAUAACAGCAACAUUCAAAUUUCUAUCAAUUAUCAAAAAAAUAAAAAUAAAUUAAAAAUCAGCACUUGCACAAACCUUAACAGAGAUCUCACCUGCACAAUCUCACAUGCAAAAUCACAAGCAUCGUCAGUCACAUGACCUGAUAUACGCUGAUCAAAAACAUUGCCAGCAAGUAAUUUACGAAACAACAGAGAAGCACCGUGAGCAGAAGACCAGAGAGAAUUUCUCCCAUCAUUCUCAACCAGAUGCAAAUUUCAUGACCCAAAAUGCUACAGGUCCAUCAGAGAGACAAAGAGAACAUUAAUUAGCACCUACAUAACCAUAACUUGCAUGACUAUGGCUUCACACUGGAUCAACAGCUCGCUGGCACCUGACAGCCAGGCAAGGAGGAGUGCAAUCAAUGGCUUUUCAAUCCCACCUACAGUCCACACCUCCACAGAGAGAGAACAGUUAUCAGAUCACAGACUACACUAUGCCCUCCACAGCAGCUAAACCUCAAGGGAAGCCUGUAGCAU